GAGCGAACGCGGACCAGGCCAGUGCCUGACUGUAAGUUACCGGAAGUGGUUGGGAAACCACGCAAUAAUGGGUGAUAGCCCCGUACGGAUCUGCGAACAGUUGGGACAUGAGUAAGGCGGGACACGUGAAAUCCUGUCUGAACGUGGGGGGACCACCCUCCAAGCCUAAGUACUCCUCAGCGACCGAUAGUGAACAAGUACCGUGAGGGAAAGGUGA
rnacentral:rRNA from 1 species